GAUUUUUUUUCUUUGUGAACCAUGAUAAAGUUAUUUUUUGGAAUAAUACACCAAUAUUAUUAUUUUUUGGACAAGAAUGAUGCACCAAUAUUAGAGUGAGAACAUGUAUAUACAUAGUGGCGGAGUAUUACAAGGGCAUAGGUGUGCCCACGACCCACCCUCCCCCUGUAUUACAAGGGCAUAGGUGUGCCACGACCCACCCUCCUCCCUCCCUCCAAAAAAAAAAGUAUAUUUUUGUUCUAUUAGUAAAAUGAUAAAAUAUCCAUGACUUUCUUUCUGACUCCGCCACUAUUUAUACACAAGUAAAAUGUAUGGUAGGAUCAAUUCAUGUUGCUGAUAAAGUCAUUGAAAAAAAAUGAAUGUGUAUUUAAUUUUGUAAUUGCAUGAUUUAUUAUACAUUUUCUUUUUUUUUUGAAGGAAGGAAUCUGUUUUUUUAUUUAUUAUAUACAUUAUCAUUCAAAUCAAUUAUAUAA
rnacentral:lncRNA from 1 species